rnacentral:tRNA from 1 species
GGAGGGUUGGCAGAGUGGUCGAAUGCACCGGUUUUGAAAACCGGCGACCGAGAGGUCCGGGGGUUCGAAUCCCUCACCCUCCG